AGCCAUCUUACUGCCCUCAUUGAAGCUAUUUUUGCUGACAAUUAUUAAAGCAACAGCAUUAUUAUCCUGGCUUUCUGACCCCGGGACGUCCGCUAUGGGAGUGUCUCGAGCCUCUCUCUCCAGUGGUAAAAUCUCCAACGUGAUUUUAAUUAACUUCUCAAGGCCAACCUGUUAAUCAGGAGAAAGCAGAUAUGAAAAGUGGGACACCUGCCUCCCUGUGUGCUCGAAAUCGCCAGGCACCUGCCUUCCUGCCAAGCCCUGGGUCUGCAGGAAGAAGUCGAUGGCCUUUUCCAGCAGAGAAGAGCAGGGCUCAAAAAUCCAUCUGCCUAACAGAUGCUUCUGAACGAAAACUCUGGGACCGGGACACGGAAAUCUCAAAUUGUUUGAUCACCUCCUCGUCACUGUCAGAAGAUGUGCAUGGCUCUUCAUCAUCUCCAAAGCUGUUAACUGGGAGCAAACAAGAGCCAUGAGUUUCAUGUGGGGCUCACAAUAAUAUAGAGAUAGAUAAUCUGGAGAAAUAGAAGAACAUGGAUGAGGAGUCUGGAUAAAGUAAGCCCACACCAGACAGAUUUUAAAACAAUUAUUAAAACAAAAAUUUGAGCCCAAAGGAAUAAAACAGGAAAAGAAAGCUUAUGAGGGCAAGUAGAAAUAUAUGGCUAGAACCUGGGAGAAACAUUGGGACACUCCUAACUGACGUAAUAAGAUGUUGAGCAGGGAGGCCCUGCUGAUGUGUUGUGUUGCUGACAUGCUUAUAACUAGGAACAGGACAUUUGACUUAACAUUCAUUCUAGUCAAUGAUGAUAGAAAAUAUGCUCUUAGCCUCGUCUUUAUUAUUAAAACACAAAGAGCUAAGCCCCACUCAGAGCAGACCCGCUUGCAACUGAGAUCUUGCAAAAGUAUCCCAGUUUUGAAGAGACACCCAUAGUAGUGUAUGUAACAUAAACAAAACAAAACUAGCUUGUAUGAUUGUGUUCUGGUGCCUUUCUCAGCACCAACAACCCAACCCAAAUACCUUUUGAAUUACGUGUACCACUUUCCCCACAUCAACCCACUCGUCCUUUCUAUUUCUCCAAUAAGCCAAGAUGGCUCUGCCCUUUGAGUUCUUUGCCUUUGAUGUUCCUUCUACCUGGAACCCUCCUGCCUGGUAUUUACCUGGCUGGCUCCUCUCACCACUGAGGUGUCAGCUCCACUAAUUGCCCCACCUGAAGCAAUUCUCUUUAUUUCUCUCUUCUCCCUCAUGACUUUCAUGAAAAUAAAACAUCACUUGUUCUGUUA